AAAAGAACUGAGGUGUGAAACCUCCACUCAGGCUUUGCUUUUUAGACCCAGAGGCUCCAUCUAUAUAUACUGUAGAGUCUAUAUGUCUGUCCCAGAAAAU